rnacentral:rRNA from 1 species
AUUGAACGCUGGCGGCAUGCCUAACACAUGCAAGUCGAGCGGUAGAGAGAAGCUUGCUUCUCUUGAGAGCGGCGGACGGGUGAGUAAUGCCUAGGAAUCUGCCUGGUAGUGGGGGAUAACGUUCGGAAACGGACUCUAAUACCGCAUACGUCCUACUGGAGAAAUCAGGGGACCUUCGGUCCUUUCACUAUCUGAUGAGCCUAGGUCGGAUUAGUUAGUUGGUGGGGUAAUUGCUCACCAAGGCGACGAUCCGUAACUGGUCUUAGAGGAUGACCAGUCACACUGGAACUGAGACACAGUCCAGACUCCUACGGGAGGCAGCAGUCGGGAAUAUUGGACAAUGGGCGAGAGCCUGAUCGAGCAAUGCCGCGUGUGUGAAGAAGGUCUUCGGAUUGUAAAGCACUUUAAGUUGGGAGGAAGGGAAGUAAAUUAAUACUUUGCUGUUUUGACGUUACCGACAGAAUAAGCACCGGCUAACUCUGUG